CCAACCUCCUGGUCUGAGCCAUAAUGAAUGCUGGCCAGUCCUCCCCACACAGUCAGGGCUCCACAAGGCAGUGAGCAUGACGUCCACAGCAUGUGACAUCAUGCUCAGAACUCUCCAGUGCGGGACAGACUUGUGCAUCAAAGCACGCAGGAGGUUCACCGUGCCCAGCUCUGUGUCACUCACUCUGCGCUCCUGAGCGUGGCCUCAAGGCACCACCCAGUUCUGAUUCUGGACACUCUUGUUCUCUGCCAGGAACUCAGCAGGUGCAGUGCUCUCGGUGCGGAAUUUUGGAGACCUCUUCAGAGCGGCCUCACCCACUGCAGCUGCUGAGUAGUGGCUGCCUCGUCUCCUGCGCCUCUGACCUCAGAGCCACUGUUGGCAGUGUACUGUGUAUCUGCUGACUCAGGGCUGGUGAUCUCGGUCUGAUUCUUAGAAAGAAACCUGUGGGGUGCUGGAGCUGCCUGUGUUGGUCCAGGCAGACACCAAAGUCAGCACAGGUGGCCUGAAGUCAGGGAACGGCGAUCUGUGUGAACAGCUCCAUGAACCGUUUCACUGCUGAGUAGCAUAAAAACAUCUCUUUGCCAUCACAGAGUCCCGAGGAACCCACGGACAUUCCUGCCUCCAGGUCCUGGGCCCUGGCCCGGGGUGGCCUUGGGUGGCUCCAGGUUACCUGGCUGUCAGGAGAGGAAACAGGCGGGGGAAGGAAUUCCACACCACGGCAACCUCACACCCAGGAUGUUUCUCUUCAGAGCAUGACAUUUGGGCUGGGCCCAGGCGUCUGGGAAACCCACGCAAUUCUGCAGCACUCAGCAGACACCUGCCAAGCACCGAGGUGGAGUUUCCAUGAUGAACAAGCCACGCCCCUGCCUUUGAGGAACUUGUCGCCCAGACCCGUGCCCAUGCUUCCAGGGUCUGUGGACCACCAGCUCCGCAUGAAUUAAAAUCAAAACAAAGGUUCAUCGCAAAUGAAGACAAUGAAAAUAAAGUGAUUUAAAAAUAAGAACUUUAUAAAAAUGAAGGGAUGACAUUGUUUGGAAGCUCUCAUCAUGGUCACAAUCAUUCAGUUUUCUUACAUUUUAUUUACUUCAGAAAAUUCAAGGCAUGAGGAGUGGCAGCAAGGUUUUGGUGACACUGUCAGAGUUUGAUGGGCACCCAGAGAGUACAGAGGGCCUCCUGCCUGCGGGCUCCCUGCAUCCAACUGCAGCCAGUGCAUCCAGGAGCCAGACCCUGUGGCUCAGCACACACUCUGCUGUGCUUUGCAAAACAAGCCCAACACUAACUUUCUAUUUUUUUGAUAACUGGAGAAAAUCCAUCAACUGUCAAGAGAGGGAAACAAUUGACAGGCUGGUUGUGUCACAGUUCAGAUUCAAGAAAUCCUGAGUCUUCAGGCUCAACCCUGCAACCCUGAAAAAGAAGCCGCAUGGCAUCACUGCCGAUGCCCAUGACAGAAGCGAAGCUUCUUUUUUUUUGACAGUUAGUGAGAGAGAGAGAGACAGAGAGAAAGGUCUUCCUUCUGUUGGUUUACCCCACAAAUGGCCGCUACAGCUGGCACGCUGCGGCUCGCGUGCUGCACUGAUCCAAAGCCAGGAGCCAGGUGCUUCCUCCUGGUCUCCCAUGCGGGUGCAGGGCCCAAGCACUUGGGCCAUCCUCCACUGCCUUCCUGGGCCACAGCAGAGAGUUGGACUGGAAGAGGAGCAACCGGGACAGAAUCUGAAACCCCAACUGGGACUAGAACCUGGAGUACCAGCGCCGCAGGCGGAGGAUUAGCCUAGUGAGCUGCGGCGCCGACCAGAAGCGAAGUUUCUAACCUCCUGUCUCGAGCACCAGAGUCCCUGCAGCAGGCACUGGAAGCCCUUGUGGUCACCUGGUCAGUUCCAAGCAGCCCUGCAGAGCCACCGGCCUCCAGGCCCUGAGCCUUAUUCCGGGGUAACCUGUAAAAUGCACGUGUGCACACAGUGACGCCAGAUACAUGCAGUUAUCAUGAUCACCCUGGGGCCCUGGGUUACAGCCUCGUUUCUUUCCUUUUGUGCACUGGGAGAUUUCAGCACUAAGUGUGCAUCACUCUGUUCAAGGAGAGAAGGCAGCAUAGCUGGGCUCUUCCUUCUGCCCCUCCCACAGAGGACUCCCCGGCUGUGACAGAUGCUCACGGCUGGGCCUCUCGUGGACGAUGUGUACAGAUGGAAAGAUGAAGGGAAACCUCCAGGGGUUUCAGGAAAACUGCUCCUUCUUUG